rnacentral:rRNA from 1 species
UACUGGAAACCGGAGCUAAUACCGGAUAAUAUAUUGAACCGCAUGGUUCAAUAGUGAAAGACGGUUUUGCUGUCACUUAUAGAUGGAUCCGCGCCGCAUUAGCUAGUUGGUAAGGUAACGGCUUACCAAGGCAACGAUGCGUAGCCGACCUGAGAGGGUGAUCGGCCACACUGGAACUGAGACACGGUCCAG